AACAGAGUGCCUGAUUAAAGGAUUAUCUUGAUAGGAUAAAUAAAGUAAUUUAAAAUUACCAUCAUUA
rnacentral:tRNA from 1 species